rnacentral:rRNA from 1 species
GUGCCAGCAGCCGCGGUAAUACGUAGGUGGCAAGCGUUGUCCGGAAUUACUGGGCGUAAAGCGCGCGCAGGCGGCCAUUUAAGUCUGGGGUGAAAGCCCGGAGCUCAACUCCGGGAUUGCCUUGGAUACUGGGUGGCUUGAGCAUCGGAGAGGCAAGGGGAAUUCCACGUGUAGCGGUGAAAUGCGUAGAGAUGUGGAGGAACACCUGUGGCGAAGGCGCCUUGCUGGCCGAUUGCUGACGCUGAGGCGCGAAAGCGUGGGGAGCAAACAGGAUUAGAUACCCUGGUAGUCC